GCUGAUAUAUAUCACUCCAGUACCAAUUGCCAUAAUUCAUUGUAGGAUUUCUCUGACCGGCAAUCCAUCUUCUCCAAUGUCUUCUAUUUUGCCAACCAUGCAUUAUGGUAAGACACUGUGUACUCGAAAUCGCUAAGGAUGUGUAUGAUCAAAACUUAAACCGGAAUCCUAGGACUCGCUUUGACCAUGGGUAAUAUAAAUUCUGAUAUCAUGUCUGAAUCCAAUUUCAAAUGAUCAUUUGAUAUGCCUGAAAAAUAAUAAAUUAGGUCAUCAUAUGUAAUAGAAUGUUGGAAAAAAAGGGUCAAAAUUUGAGUCGAUGUUGUUAACCAUGAUACAUACCAGCUACAACACAUGUAUGUGGCACGAUAAACUUCCUAAUCAUUCAGAGCGCUGACUUUUUCCUCCAGAUGCCAUGAUUUUUC
rnacentral:lncRNA from 1 species